rnacentral:rRNA from 1 species
CAAUAGCGUAUAUUAAAGUUGUUGCAGUUAAAAAGCUCGUAGUUGGAUUUCUGGCAGAGUGUCCUCCGUCCAGCAGUUCGUUUGGUUCGGAGCGCUCUACCAUCCUUCUGUUAACCUUUCCGGGAUUUACUUUUCGGACUGGGGCUCAGAUAUUUUACCUUGAGAAAAUUAGAGUGUUUCAGGCAGGCAAUCGCCCGAAUACAUUAGCAUGGAAUAAUGGAAAAGGACUUUGGUUCAUUUGGUUGGCUAUUGAAUCAGAGUAAUGAUAAAUAGGGACAGUUGGGGGCAUUAGUAUUUAAUUGUCAGAGGUGAAAUUCUUGGAUUUAUUAAAGACUAACUUAUGCGAAAGCAUUUGCCAAGGAUGUUUUCAUUAAUCAAGAACGAAAGUUAGGGGAUCAAAGACGAUUAGAUACCAU